CCGAGUUUACAACUCCCAAACCCCUGUGAACAUACCACUUGUUGCCUCGGCGGAUCAGCCCGCUCCCGGUAAAACGGGGCGGCCCGCCAGAGGACCCCUAAACUCUGUUUCUAUAUGUAACUUCUGAGUAAAACCAUAAAUAAAUCA
rnacentral:misc_RNA from 1 species